rnacentral:rRNA from 1 species
AUUGAACGCUGGCGGCAGGCUUAACACAUGCAAGUCGAACGAGUGGCGGACGGGUGAGUAAUGCUUGGGAAUCUCGCUUAUGGAGGGGGCUAACUACGGGAAACUGUAGCUAAUACCGCGUACCAUAGGAUGAGCCCAAGUGGGAUGAGGUAGUUGGUGAGGUAAAGGCGCACCAAGCCGACGAUCUCUAGCUGGUCUGAGAGGCUGACCAGCCACACUGGGACUGAGACACGGCCAAGACUCCUACGGGAGGCAGCAGUGGGGAAUAUUGCGCAAUGGGGGCAACCUGACGCAGCAAUGCCGCGUGAAUGAAGAAGGCCUUCGGGUUGUAAAGUACUUUCAUUAGGGAGGCGUUACCGACAGAAGAAGCACCGGCUAACUCCGUGCCAGCAGCCGCGGUAAUAC